rnacentral:rRNA from 1 species
AUUGAACGCUGGCGGCAGGCCUAACACAUGCAAGUCGAGCGAGAGGCGGACGGGUGAGUAAUGUAUGGGGAUAUGCCCGAUAGAGGGGGAUAACUACUGGAAACGGUGGCUAAUACCGCAUACUAUCGGAUGAACCCAGAGGGGUUGAGCUAGUAGGUGGGGGAAAGGCUCCAAUAGGCGAAGAUCUCUAGCUGGUCUGAGAGGAUGAACAGCGACACUGGUACUGAGACACGGCCCAGAAUCCUACGGGAGGCAGCAGUGGGGAAUAUGGCACAAUGGGCGAAAGCCUGAUGCAGCCAUGCCGCGUGUAUGAAGAAGGCCUUAGGGUUGUAAAGUACUUUCAGCGGGGAGGCGUUACCCGCAGAAGAAGCACCGGCUAACUCCGUGCCAGCAGCCGCGGUAAUAC